rnacentral:rRNA from 1 species
UAAGGAAUAUUGCUCAAUGGGAGAAAUCCUGAAGCAGCAACGCCGCGUGGAGGAUGAAGGGUCUAUGACUUGCAAACUCCUGUAAAGAAGGAAAAAAUUCCCAUUAGAUGGGAGAUGAUGGUACUUCUGGAGUAAGCACCGGCUAACUCCGUGCCAGCAGCCGCGGUAAUACGGAGGGUGCAAGCGUUAUCCGGAUUUAUUGGGUUUAAAGGGUCCGUAGGCGGACUUAUAAGUCAGUGGUGAAAGCCUGUCGCUUAACGAUAGAACUGCCAAUGAUACUGUAAGUCUUGAGUAUAUUUGAGGUAGCUGGAAUAAGUAGUGUAGCGGUGAAAUGCAUAGAUAUUACUUAGAACACCAAUUGCGAAGGCAGGUUACCAAGAUAUAACUGACGCUGAGGGACGAAAGCGUGGGGAGCGAACA